rnacentral:rRNA from 1 species
CUACGGGUUGCUCCAGUGGGGAAUAUUGCACAAUGGGGGGAACCCUGAUGCAGCAACGCCGCGUGGAGGAUGACGCAUUUCGGUGUGUAAACUCCUUUUAUAUGUCAAGAAAAUGACGGUAGCAUAUGAAUAAGCACCGGCUAACUCCGUGCCAGCAGCCGCGGUAAUACGGAGGGUGCAAGCGUUACUCGGAAUCACUGGGCGUAAAGGACGCGUAGGCGGGUUGGAAAGUCAGGUGUGAAAUCCUACAGCUUAACUGUAGAACUGCACUUGAAACUUCUAAUCUAGAGUAUGGGAGGGGGAGAUGGAAUUAGUGGUGUAGGGGUAAAAUCCGUAGAUAUCACUAGGAAUACCUAAAGCGAAGGCGAUCUCCUGGAACAUUACUGACGCUAAGGCGUGGAAGCGUGGGGAGCAAACAGGAUUAGAUACCCUCGUAGUC